rnacentral:rRNA from 1 species
AUUGAACGCUAGCGGCAGGCUUAACACAUGCAAGUCGAGCGGGGGAAGGUAGCUUGCUACCGGACCUAGCGGCGGACGGGUGAGUAAUGCUUAGGAAUCUGCCUAUUAGUGGGGGACAACAUCUCUAAAGGGAUGCUAAUACCGCAUACGUCCUACGAGAGAAAGCAGGGGAUCUUCGGACCUUGCGCUAAUAGAUGAGCCUAAGUCGGAUUAGCUAGUUGGUGGGGUAAAGGCCUACCAAGGCGACGAUCUGUAGCGGGUCUGAGAGGAUGAUCCGCCACACUGGGACUGAGACACGGCCCAGACUCCUACGGGAGGCAGCAGUGGGGAAUAUUGGACAACGGGGGGAACCCUGAUCCAGCCAUGCCGCGUGUGUGAAGAAGGCCUUAUGGUUGUAAAGCACUUUAAGCGAGGAGGAGGCUACUCUAGUUAAUACCUAGGGAUAGUGGACGUUACUCGCAGAAUAAGCACCGGCUAACUCUGUGCCAGCCGCCGCCGUAA